rnacentral:pre_miRNA from 1 species
ACAAUAUUCGGACCGUCGGUCUACCGAGCAAUAUCACGCACCCGGUGGAAGAUCUUCCUCGG